rnacentral:rRNA from 1 species
UACGUAGGGUGCGAGCGUUGUCCGGAAUUAUUGGGCGUAAAGGGCUCGUAGGCGGCUUGUUGCGUCGACUGUGAAAAACCUGGCGGCCUCAACCGUGUGGUCUGCAGUCGAUACGGGCAGGCUGGAGUUCGGUAGGGGAGACUGGAAUUCCUGGUGUAGCGGUGAAAUGCGCAGAUAUCAGGAGGAACACCGGUGGCGAAGGCGGGUCUCUGGGCCGAUGACUGACGCUGAGGCGCGAAAGCUAGGGGAGCGAACGGG